UACGGAGGGUGCAAGCGUUGUUCGGAAUUAUUGGGCGUAAAGCGCGUGUAGGCGGCUAUUUAAGUCUGAUGUGAAAGCCCGGGGCUCAACCUCGGAAGUGCAUUGGAAACUGGAUAGCUUGAGUACGGGAGAGGGUAGUGGAAUUUCGAGUGUAGGGGUGAAAUCUUGUGAUCCUCGGGGGACCACCAGUGGCGAAGGCGGCUACCUGGACCGAUACUGACGCUGAGACGCGAAAGCGUGGGGAGCAAAC
rnacentral:rRNA from 2 species